AGUCGAACGGUAACAGGUCUUCGGAUGCUGACGAGUGGCGAACGGGUGAGUAAUACAUCGGAACGUGCCCGAGAGUGGGGGAUAACGAGGCGAAAGCUUUGCUAAUACCGCAUACGAUCUCAGGAUGAAAGCAGGGGACCGCAAGGCCUUGCGCUCACGGAGCGGCCGAUGGCAGAUUAGGUAGUUGGUGGGAUAAAAGCUUACCAAGCCGACGAUCUGUAGCUGGUCUGAGAGGACGACCAGCCACACUGGGACUGAGACACGGCCCAGACUCCUACGGGAGGCAGCAGUGGGGAAUUUUGGACAAUGGGCGCAAGCCUGAUCCAGCCAUGCCGCGUGCAGGAUGAAGGCCUUCGGGUUGUAAACUGCUUUUGUACGGAACGAAAAGACUCCUUCUAAUAAAGGGGGUCCAUGACGGUACCGUAAGAAUAAGCACCGGCUAACUACGUGCCAGCAGCCGCGGUAAU
rnacentral:rRNA from 1 species